UAGGGAAUCUUCCGCAAUGGACGCAAGUCUGACGGAGCAACGCCGCGUGAGUGAAGAAGGAUUUCGGUUCGUAAAACUCUGUUGUUAGAGAAGAACAGCGCAUAGAGUAACUGUUAUGCGUGUGACGGUAUCUAACCAGAAAGCCACGGCUAACUACGUGCCAGCAGCCGCGGUAAUACGUAGGUGGCAAGCGUUGUCCGGAUGUAUUGGGCGUAAAGCGAGCGCAGGCGGUCAAUUAAGUCUGAUGUGAAAGCCCCCGGCUCAACCGGGGAGGGUCUUUGGAAACUGGUUGCCUUGAGUGCAGAAGAGGAGAGUGUACUUCCAUGUGUAGCGGUGAAAUGCGUAGAUAUAUGGAGGAACACCAGUGGCGAAGGCGACUCUCUGGUCUGUAACUGACGCUGGGGCUCGAAAGCGUGGGUAGCAACCAGG
rnacentral:rRNA from 1 species